rnacentral:lncRNA from 1 species
AACCAUCGCCCCCCCUCUACCCCCCUUGCCUGACACAACGUUCUUUGUUCAGCCUCACAGAUCCCUUCAGAGGAGCUUAGGGGUGGGGGCAGGAGAGGACAGAAGGUUACAUCCUUUUAGAGGGUUUUACAGCCCGGAGAGAUGCUCGGAACCCUCGAAGGCAGCCGGCAGAAGCCGACUGCUCCCCACGAAGUUUAUCGAGGUGCUGGCAACUUCGAUGUUUGGCUUCACUUCAGGCUGGAGAAGGAAACAUUUAAUUUCUCAAAAACCCAGUGUGACUCAAGCCUCGGUGCCAAUGUCACAGCAUUAGCUGAGCGAACGGAGCAGUCAAGGCAAAGCCAACUCUUAUCUAUUCAUGAUGGCAAGAGCUGCGAGGACCAACGAGGAUGACGAGGAUGACGACAUAGUGGAAGGUACGACUUUGGAUUUUAUCAUUUGAAGAUACGCAAACCCAGUUCAAAGAGGAAAGUCAACAGAGAAGCUUGGGAUGCUCAUUCCCGUAAGAAACCUCAGCCAGUGAUUUGAAUGGGGAAAAAAAGAAAAAAAAGUAAAACAAGGAUUAAUUCUGGCUUGAAUCUUGUAUUCUGAUGAAGGACCUGCAAGAGAAAUGUAGAGCACGUUAUAAUCAAAGAGCUGAUGGGCAGAGACAGAAGUGUUUCAGGUGGUUGCGACACCUAUAAACAUCCAUUGUCUGAAGUGACUCCUUGUCAUCACUCAGUAUUUCUGAUUUUUGAAGCGUCUGCGGAUGCUUGCGCAGGCUGGU